rnacentral:tRNA from 1 species
GGCGGUGUAGCUCAGAUGGUUAGAGCAUACGGCUCAUAUCCGUAGUGCCCGGGGUUCGAUUCCCUGCACCGCCACCA